rnacentral:rRNA from 1 species
GAUGAACGCUGGCGGCGUGCUUAACACAUGCAAGUCGAACGGAAAGGCUCCUUCUUGCAGGGGUACUCGAGUGGCGAACGGGUGAGAAACACGUGUGUGAUCUGCCCUGCACUUCGGGAAAAUCCUGGGAAACGGGGUCUAAUACCGGAUAGGACCACAUUUUGGGGGGGGGGUUGGAAAGUUUUGCGGUGUGGGAUGAGCUCGCGGCCUAUCAGCUUGUUGGUGGGGUAAUGGCCUACCAAGGCGUCGGCGGGGUGCCGGCCUGGGGGGGGGUACGGCCACAUUGGGACUGAGUUCCGGCCAGGCCUCUUCCGGGAGGCAGGAGUGGGGAUUAUUGCACAAUGGGGGCAAGCCUAAGGCAGCGACGCGGGGUGGGGGAUGCCGGCCUUCGGGUGGAAAACGCUUUCCGCUAGGGACGAGGCGUGAGUGACGGUAGCUGGUGAAGAAGCACCGGCUAACUACGUG